CCAAAUCCUCUAGGGACACAGGUCUGUGAGCCAAGGAGCAGAAGUGGGGAGGAUGAGACUCAGCUCUGGUGAUUUUGACCCUGGGUCUGAGAUAACUCAUGGGUCCAACUGCAGGGAACAUAGCGAUCAGAGUACCACAAGGAGGACAAGCACAAGACAUCACAAGAUCCAGACUCAGGUUCUUCAGCUGACAAAGAUGGCAAGAGGCAAGAAUCUAUGAUUAAAAUUUACUUGGCGGCAUAUCAAACAAUUUCUAAGAGAAGGGACAAUGUUAAACUACGGUGUCUAAAGUCACACAUUAAAUGGCCAACUAGAAAGACAUGUGAAGAGGAGGAAGCAAGAGGAGCAGCUGCACCAGUAGAAUUAAACGUGUAGAAUUAAGCGUGUCCCCCUAGUGCUCUGCACAGGAAGAAAGUCCUCCACCUGACCGCAGGCAGCAGGCCGGCCUCCUACAGGAAAAGCAAAGCCCACUGGUGAUGCCCAAUGUCUCUGCAGCACCAUAGGAGGAGGCCCGAGGCUGCCGUGUCACCUGAGAGAGAGUGUGGGGUCAGCCAGGCCUACAUCUGAGACCAUGUCUAGAGACAAGGGAGGAGCUCCCUCCAAGCCUUGGACUCCAGCUGGUGACACUACUUUAGAAACCUUAAGAGGGAAGCCUAAUCAAAGGUAACAGAUCACUGAUGACAUGCCCUUGUGUUUCAUCUUACCUAGCCCCUAACUGUAUUCCCCUCCUUGGUUUCCAGUCUGCCAUAGGAUAAACAGCCUAGUACUCCCAACACCAUGGCAUUAUACCUUUCCAUGAGCCAGUCAACAGACCAAACACUAUGGACUGAAAUUUCUAAAAGUGCAAGCAAAAAUAAACAGUUUCUUCUUUUAA